UACGAAGGGUGCAAACGUUGCUCGGAAUUAUUGGGCGUAAAGCGCACGUAGGCGGCAUUGCAAGUCGGAUGUGAAAUCCCUCGGCUUAACCAAGGAAGUGCAUCCGAAACUGCAGUGCUUGAGUACUUAAGAGGAUCGCGGAAUUCCCGGUGUAGAGGUGAAAUUCGUAGAUAUCGGGAGGAACACCAGUGGCGAAGGCGACUACCUGGCCUGUUCUUGACGCUGAGGCGCGAAAGCUAGGGGAGCAAACGGG
rnacentral:rRNA from 1 species